rnacentral:rRNA from 1 species
UUUUUUGGGUCUUGCCCCAAAGAGAUUAAUAAUUCAACAUCGAGGUCAUAAUCUUUUUCUUUUAUAAGAACUUUAAGAAGAAAUUGUGCUGUUAUCCCUACGGUAACUUAAUUGAUUCUCAGAAUGAGGAUGAAGAGAGACUAAAGAUAAAAAGAUUUAGUUUUUGACCGCCCCAGUUCAACAAAAGUAAAGUUCGAUAGGGUCUUGUCGUCCUUCUUUGAGAUUCAAGUCUUUUUACUUGAAAGAAAAGUUAAAACAGUUCAGGUAAUAAAGAAAUUUAUAUGUCAAACCUUUCAUACUGGCCUUCAAUUGAAAGGCAAAUGAUUACGCUACCUUAGCACAAGAAAAUUGCGGCUAUUGAAUACAUCAUUGAGCAGGCCCUACUGAAUAUAAGAUCAUUCAGAAAUGUUUUUGAUAAACAGACAAUAAAUAUAUAGGCCGAGUUCAUGAAUCUGAAUGUAGACUUAUUGAGAAGAGUGGUUUAACAAAAGAAAGUUAGAUAAAUUUUACUAAUAAGAUCAUUGUUUAUGUUUUUAGGAGGGUUUCUUUUAAUAAUAUUUUAGAAGAAGAAGGGGGGAGAAGUUUUUAAACUUGGGGAUACUAUUAGUCCUAAUGUUUCUAAAGCAACAAAAUGUCUAGUUUUUAAAAAAGUUUAUCCCUUUUUAAAUUUUGGUAUUAUUACCUUCAAAGAGAACCAGAUAUUAUAGAAUGCGAGUGGAAUUUCAUCUCUAUAAAUACUUUAGAAAACUUUGUGAAACAAGCUUGAUAAGUAGAAAUAGAUCAUUUCAAUUUCGGGAGUAUUUAUUAAAAAGAAGAGAUUGAUUUUCCCUGAUACCAAAGGUACAUUGUUUUUCUGUUUUACAAUUUAAAGUGUUCCCUCACGGUAAAAUUAAGCCAAGAAGAAAACAUGAAGAACAAAAUAUUUAUUUAAAUAAAGAUCUAAAGUGUAAUAGU